CUGCAAACCAGAUCACUAGCUCUGCAUGAUGUUGUAGCAGCAAGGGGAACACGUUUGCUAAAUAGAAAUAUGCAGAAGGGAUAUUUUAACCUUAAAGAAUCGUCUUUCUGGUCUGUAAUUCCUUCUCCAACAGUU